UACAAAUGUUUAGCACCUCGUCUUGCAACUAGUAGUUGAUAUUCUAGGUUUUUUAAUUAAAAAUUGGAAUUAAGUGUUCGAGAGCAAGAAUUGUACUGAUUUAAAAAUUGUACUGAUUUAAAAGUAAAACCUAUUUUCUUUGUGGGUUCCAGGCGGAAAAACUAUAUGUCGUUACCCUUCGCAGCCGGGUUAGGCGGGGGCGCUAACGUCUGCUAACGUCAAAAUUGUCUAUUUCCCCCUGUCAGCUGGAGCAAAAAGUACCUCUGUUAUAGUGUUUCUUUUUCCUCUUAGUGUGAACUUAGUUAGAUUGUUCCUCUUAGUUAGGCUUGUAGUUAUUUGUCUCAUCAUUCUCGAUUUACACAACGACAAUAUUUUAUGUUGCACGUUUCUUCGCUGUUUUAUUGUGCUUUGUAUAGAGCGUAAGUCCUUCUAAUAGACCAACAUAUCUGCGAGCAAGGAUCUGCUUAGGGACAGUGAGACAUCAGCAAAUACAACAACAAAACCAUAUCCAAAUGGUAGCACAAAACUUGUACAGCUGUGAUACUUCCCAAACACCUAUGCAGUUUGGAAUGCUUGUCAGGUGAAUGCAGAUUAAUGUAAAAGAUGCCAAAUGUGAGACAUGUGGAAAAGGCCUUAUAGAAUGUGUGGGCCCCUUUGGUUAUGUAGAUGGGAACAUAUGAUUUUUCAUGUUGGUUACACCAAGGCAGUAAUAACUGUGCUGCAAAAAUCUGCAAAACAUGCUUGUCUGUUCAUCUCAGUGAUGAUAUGCAAAUUUAUUGAGUAAAUCUGACUAAGGAAGCACUGAGGAAGCAAAUCUGAGAAGUGUCACUAAAAGUAACUUGUCCCAGUGAGAUGAUCAUGGCAAUCCAUCAUUUGUUUCAAAGAUUUUUUAUGAAGUUACAACAUAGAAGGUAUGGAACCAGUAAGCAUCAUACAGAGAGCUACUGGGCUCCUAUCCAACUUUCAGGAUAAAGGAAACCAUCAACGCCUCAAAGACAAGAAAUACACCUGUUACCUAUACCCGGUUCCUAAUCGACGAUUGCCUGGAAUAUAGAAAAAAACAAUGCUCGGAAAAGUAAAUUUUACAGUUGCCAACCGUAAUAGUUCCGCACUGUAAUAAAAUUUCGGUCAGUGACUCAGUGUCGCCAACGUGAUACAAAGUCAUUCAACUCUUUACAUCAAACCUGUUGAGAAGGAUGCCUCAGGCUGGACACUAUUACUCCGAUUGAAAAUGAAUGGACACAGGUAGAAAGUUUAGAAGAGACUUUUAUUGGAUCACCUUGCAACCUCUUACUUUAAUUUGAAUCACUCAUGCAGCCACCAUAUAGACAUCUUAAAAAUAUUUUAGGAUAUGCAAACUAUGGUACUAAGUCAGUGUCUCCAUACUUCACAUGUUUGUCGCAUGUAAAAAAGAAUGAAAAUGGAAUGUGAUGCCUAGGUAGCAUAUUGAGGUCAGAAGAUUGCCCAACAUCUAUGGAAAAAUGGCUUAGCUGAUGAACCAGCUACAUUUAGCAGGUUGGCUUUAUUGGAGAACUGUUAAAUAUUUGAUAUUCAUAAUGUUCGCAAGGCUUGUAAGAAAAUAGUUUUCAUUGCACUAGCGACAAUUCGGAAUUGCGAGGGUGCGAGUGAUUCAGAUUAUAAGUCAGCGUUGAAAUGCAAUAGGUGACGAAAAGUUUCUGAGCUGUAUUAAUUUUUGAUACUAGGGGCACUCACUCCGUUCGGGAAGUUCCCGAUUGGGUUGGGCUGUAGUUGCAAAAAUGGCAUGGCCGCAUCCAAACAGAUCAAAACAAUUUACAAUCCAGCAAUGUAUUAAAGAGGAAAGUAAUUACCAAAUGCCGACUGGACGAUUUCCAUGCAAGAUGAAUGUUAAAAUCCAAGGAGAUCUGGAGAACCAUUAGCUGAAUACAAUGAAUACUAUCAGUUCUCCAGAACAAGAGGCCGAUAUAGGUUAAUAAUCAUACUGGAUCAAAAGAUUUACAUACUUGAACGAGAUUUAAAAACGAUAACAGCUAGAAGGGCAUGUGGGAAAUUCAAAGGGCGCUACCUGCACGUUACCUUUAAUCGCUGAUUCAUCUCGAAGAUAAAAUAAGUUAUUUUUAUAAAUUGCAGUGCAUAUCUGGGCUCCCUUCUUUUCUGUGGCCCCGUUUCCCCUUGACUUGUGAUAAGCCCGCAGGGGGUCAUGCCCCUACUGUGAUCAGCAGCAAAGGU
rnacentral:lncRNA from 1 species